rnacentral:lncRNA from 1 species
AGCUGAGGCAGAACAAGACUUAGAGGACCCCUGAUGCAGCUGCAGACCAGAGGCUGAAUCUUUUCCAUAUUCAUGAGGGCAGCACUACUGCGAGGCUGGGUAGUGGGAAGUGACUCAGGGCUGGUGUAAAUCACUCAGCAGGAAGAUGAGACAACGGAGGAAGUGAGUGAUCUUUACCUCUCAGCCAAGGGAUGCAAUUAUCCAGGACUCGGGCACAGACAGGAAGCUCGGCUCUGCUCUCCUGGUGCCUUUCCUGGGGCCUGGCGUGAGUGUGAGGGUCUUCAGGGUUCGAAUCCUGCUGGCAGAGGGGCCUGCAGGCAUGUCAUCCCUGCAGUCAGUGAGCGCCACUUCCGGAAGGUGGAGGAUCACUAGACCUUGAGGGAAGUGGCCCGGGAGAGGGACUGGCAGGGACGGGGAUGCUGAGGGAAGAAGUGCCAGGAGCAAAGGCUGGGUGGUGGUGCUGUGGGGGGGGAGCACCAGGUAGGGAGCCCUAACCCUGAAGUGCAUUUCCUGGGCGGGGCAGGGCCUCCCCCUCUUUGCAGUGCCCCCGGUGGGCGUCUGGGAUCCACGUUCUGCCUUCUGGGCUGGCACCACUCCAGUCAGGCCUCAGAGCGCUAGAGAGACGGUGGCUCCUGUCGCCAAUCUGCACACACGAGAGGCCAGGAGCGGCUCCCAGCCACACCCUUGGACGUCGCUUAGUAAGGUCUCCGGUCUGAGCUUCUCUGGGUCCAAGGAGUGGGGCUGAGCUAGUAUUUGAGAGGUUUAUAACCAACUUGUGAUGCAGUUGGAAAGAGAAGCAUGCUCAAGGUGUCAGAUUAAAUGUCGAAGAAACUGAGGGCCAGGAGGGAUAAUUGUGAGCUGGAGUCAAACUGGAGAGGCAUAAGGGAAGGUCACAGUCUAGAAGGGUCUGGAAGCCAGGACAUCCCUCAUUCAUUCAUUCAACAAGACGCAGGCCAACUAGGGAGAUGGUGACAAGGAGGGUGUGAGACCCCCAGAAGCAGCUGGCUGUGCAGGAGUUCUGAUUCCUGAUCAGCAGGGCAGGCGCAGGAACGCUCAGGAUGGAGGCUUCUGGACCCCCACCGCUGCUCCAAGAUCACAGCUGGAAGCAGCUCUUCAUCCUCCAGGGAGCCUGGAAGGUUUCCCCUGUGAGUCCCCACCCACCAAGCUUCCCUUCCAUCUCCACCUCCCUCCUGCCUCUGGUGAGGACCCAAGGAGAAGACUGGGGGUUCUAGCUGUGUCUACUCAGCUGAUUCUCCUGGACUCAUUCAUUCACCCGGCAGAUCAUAUUCCAAGCCUGGGGCUCUGCGGUGAAGCCUGCUCCUCAGAUGCACUUAAUUCUUCCACGCCCUAAAGUCUGAGAGUGGUUUUCAUGUUUCAGAAGUACUUUCUGGCUGCUGUUUGGCAUGAUCUCACAGUGGCUUCUCCUGGUUGCUUUGUGCCUGGUGUGGCCGCAGGUGUGGGGAGGGUCCUGGGAGUGCUGACCCCCACCCUGCUUUCCAAGCUUCUUCUCAGACUUCGAAGCUAAGACCACGCCUCUCCAAGCCUGUUGCACACGGGAUCUGGAGGUGACUUAGGCUCUGCCCUGGCACAGCUUGGACUCUGAGCUUUUGGGGAGAAGUAGGGCCUUCACUUCGCUGGUGUGGCCCAUCCAGGGCAGAGGAGGGGUGGAGACAGCAAGGGACACAGCUGUCUUGGUUUUCUGUAGCUUUGGGAGUUAUUCUUGGAUGUUCGUACUGGAAUCUGUUUCAUUACCCUUCGCAGUGAUUCUGUGAGCACUUCAUAAUUUCUAAAACCUCCCUCUUACUUAAUAAGUGCGGUGGGUUGAAUGGCGCUUAGCCUAGGAAAAGGAAAGAAGAGAGGCAUGCAUGUGGGGCUUGUGAAUGUGACCAUAUUUGGAAAAGGGGCCUUCGGAGUUGCAAUUAGGUUAAAGACCUUGAGAUGAGAAGAUCACUUUGGGUCACUUGGGUGGGCCUGAAAUCCAGCACGGGUGUCCUGCUUAGAAGAGAGGAUGCAGACCAGAGAAGACCUUGUGUAGAGAGAGGAGUUGGGCGUGGUGUAGUUGCAAAGGAGCUUGGGAGUGCCAGGAGCCACUGGAAGCUCUGAGAGGCAGAAGGAGCCUUCGUGGAGCCUUUGGGGACAGCGUGGCCUGCGGACACCUCGAUCUUGGCCUUCUGGCCUGCAUGACCUUGAGAGAGGAGGUCUCUGUUGCUUCAGCCGCUCGGCGGGUGGUGCGCACUUGGCAGCCUCAGGGAGCUGGUGCCUUUAGCUGCAGAGGACUGGGUUUCUGCAGUGGAAGCGUGACCCUCGGGUGUUGUCUGUCACAGCUGCCUCUAGCACUGAUGGCGGAGGCAUUCCCAAACACCACCCCGGCCUGGGGAGGGCGCAGAGCCGCAGCUUUGUGAAAUCCUGGCUUUCCAGAACCCCUGUUCCUCGGAGCUGCUGGGCACACCUCAUAGGGUCUUCACUCCCGACCUGUCGCUUCAUCCACUUCUGCUGGUGGCGCAGGAGGGUGCCUGGUGACAAAUAUGUCUUCUUAUACCCAGCGUCUCUUCCUGUCCUCAGUGGAGGAAGUGGAUACAACUAAACUGGCUCCAGACAGGGUCCUCAGAAUGCCCCAGUCCAUCGGUAUGGAGGAUAACUUCCGCCAAGCCCUCUCCUUUCCUGAACCAGUCGAAUUGAUGAUUGCUCUCUCAGUCCUUUUCAGCCACUGCAGUGGCACACCCCGGCCAGGCGGCUAAGCUGGUGUCUCUCAGGGCUGGAAGCCAGAAGUCCAAGGCCAAGACUAGGCAGCGGUGAGGGGCAUCCUUGGCUUGCAGACAGAUUCUCACUGUGUCCCCUUAAGACAGGAGCAGGAGCCUCACGUCUUUCCAUCGGGCACGACUCUGACUCAAGAGGGCUCCAGGCCGCACCAUCUAAUCAGCCCUCCCACCCUCUAGCGCUCUCACGUUGGGGUUUCGGCUUCAGCAGGCGGAUUUGGGGACACAUACUCUGUCCUUAAUCGCUACCCGACCAAAAAGGCCUCUAAGCGUGUUUCUAUCCUAGGCAAAAACAACAUGCCCUGCACCUGGACAGACAAAUAUUUCUACCAAAGAUAAAUUCUGCUGCUUCCUUAAAGUGACAAGCGAGUACAGCAGGAUCUCCUGUGCAUCCUGGGUCUCGCAGUACUCAAGGCUCAGGAGAAGGAGGACUCUCCCAGCCCUGGUUCAAACUCCUGGUGGAUCCUCCCAGACUCCUUUUCCCCUCUCUGCUGCCUGCCUUCAGUCCUUUGUCUGCAGUGCUUACGGGAAGCAAGCAAACAAAUGCCCCGAAUUUGGCUGAUCUUUGUAAAAAUAAAUUCCCAGAUGAUCCUCGAAUCAUUUAAAAAGUGAUGGAAGUGCGGCUGGGCAGCACUUCAUCUGCCUCGCAGCCCGACUUGGGUAGCAGGCGUUUGUUGCCCUUCUGCGUCUCCUGUCUUCUGAGCAAGCUUUGCACACAGGCCGGGCACCCUGUCAGCCCAGCCUUGCUGAAGGUAGCACCAGCUCUUCCCACUUCCUCGAUCGGUUUUACUAGUUUGUCAACUCGCCAGCCGGAAGGAAUUGCGUUGAUGAGCACAGAAAACCUCCCCAGGGAGUGACAGCUGUUAGCAGGCUGCCUCUGGAGCUGAGGGCGCCAGCCUUGGCCAGCUCGAGGGUUCUGUCUGCACCAAGAAACUGAUGAGACCUCCAGCUGUUCCCUGCCGUCAAUCUUAUUUUGCUCUUUAAAUUAUUUAUAUUUCGGGUUUCUCAUAUCAGACCAUGUAUAUUUAAACUUCUGUGUCUGGUUUAUUUUAGUUAGCAUCGUCUCACACUCCAUCCAUUUUCCUCCAGUUCACUCAAAAUUAACCUUGUUUAUGGCUGAGUAGUACUCUAUUACGUCUGUAUACCACAUUUUAAAAUUCAUUCUCGUGUGAAUGGGCCCCUAGGUUUGUCUAUUGCAAGAUGGAAGAGAGGUGGUCAUUAAUAGGGAGGCUGACUGUGGAGAUGGGAAGGGGAUCUGAGGACAGGAGGGGGAGUGGAAUAUACACAUAUGUAUCUCCAGUUCUCCAAGAUGAAUGUGAUUAUUCUGUAUUGCAAAUACAUACUAAUAAAAAAUU